GUGCCAGCCGCCGCGGUAAUACGUAGGGGGCGAGCGUUGUCCGGAAUUACUGGGCGUAAAGGGUACGCAGGCGGCCAUGUAAGUCAGAUGUGAAAGGCGUAGGCUUAACCUAUGUAAGCAUUUGAAACUGUGUGGCUUGAGUUAAGGAGAGGAAAGUGGAAUUCCUGGUGUAGCGGUGAAAUGCGUAGAUAUCAGGAGGAAUACCAGUGGCGAAGGCGACUUUCUGGACUUAAACUGACGCUGAGGUACGAAAGCGUGGGGAGCAAACAGGAUUAGAUACCCUGGUAGUCCACGCCGUAAACGAUGAGUGCUAGGUGUCGGAGGGUAACCUUCGGUGCCGCAGUUAACACAUUAAGCACUCCGCCUGGGGAGUACGUUCGCAAGAAUGAAACUUAAAUGAAUUGACGG
rnacentral:rRNA from 1 species